GAUAAACGCUGGCGGCGCGCCUAACACAUGCAAGUCGAGCGAGAAAGUCCUUCGGGAUGAGUACAGCGGCGAACGAGUGAGUAACACGUGAGAAUCUACCCUUUAGUGAAGAAUACCCUCGAGAAAUCGAGGUUAAUACUGCAUAAGUCCUGUGUAAGAAAUUACGCUGGAGAAAGAUGGCUUUAUGCUGUCGCUGAAGGAGGAGCUUGCGUCCUAUCAGCUAGUUGGUGAGGUAAUGGCUUACCAAGGCGAUGACGGGUAGCUGGUCUGAGAGGAU
rnacentral:rRNA from 1 species